rnacentral:rRNA from 1 species
UAGUUGGUGGGGUAAAGGCCUACCAAGGCGACGAUCCGUAACUGGUCUGAGAGGAUGAUCAGUCACACUGGAACUGAGACACGGUCCAGACUCCUACGGGAGGCAGCAGUGGGGAAUAUUGGACAAUGGGGGCAACCCUGAUCCAGCCAUGCCGCGUGUGUGAAGAAGGCCUUCGGGUUGUAAAGCACUUUAAGUUGGGAGGAAGGCUUGUUAGUUAAUAACUGACAAGAUUGACGUUACCAACAGAAUAAGCACCGGCUAACUCCGUGCCAGCAGCCGCGGUAAUACGGAGGGUGCAAGCGUUAAUCGGAAUUACUGGGCGUAAAGCGCACGUAGGCGGUUAUUUAAGCGAGAUGUGAAAUCCCUGGGCUCAACCUGGGAACUGCAUUUCGAACUGGGUAGCUAGAGUACAGAAGAGGACAGUGGAAUUUCAGGUGUAGCGGUGAAAUGCGUAGAGAUCUGAAGGAACAUCAGUGGCGAAGGCGACUGUCUGGUCUGAUACUGACGCUCAGGUGCGAAAGCGUGGGGAGCAAACAGGAUUAGAUACCCUGGUAGUCCACGCCGUAAACGAUGUCGACUAGCUGUUGGGCUCCUUGAGGGCUUAGUGGCGCAGUUAACGCGAUAAGUCGACCGCCUGGGGAGUACGGCCGCAAGGUUAAAACUCAAAUGAAUUGACGGGGGCCCGCACAAGCGGUGGAGCAUGUGGUUUAAUUCGAUGCAACGCGAAGAACCUUACCAGGCCUUGACAUCCUCGGAACUUAGCAGAGAUGCUUUGGUGCCUUCGGGAGCCGAGAGACAGGUGCUGCAUGGCUGUCGUCAGCUCGUGACGUGAGAUGUUGGGUUAAGUCCCGUAACGAGCGCAACCCUUGUCCUUAGUUGCCAUCAGGUAAAGCUGGGAACUCUAAGGAGACCGCCGG